rnacentral:tRNA from 1 species
UCCAGGGUAGCCUAGUGGACAUGGCAUCUGCCCGGUAAGCGGAACACAGUGGGUUCGAUUCCCAUCUCUGGAC